rnacentral:lncRNA from 1 species
CCUGCCCGCAGCUCCUCCUCCAGUCCUUGAUCCCGUUUUCUGAACACCAGCGUGCUCCAUGAGGGCCGUUAACCAAGGAGAAAGAGCUGAGAAACCAGGUGCUGAUGGGCCCGUUUUGUCACUCAACAAACUGGUCAAGGAGGUCCAUGAGGAGCAGGCCCUGUCCUGGGCCCCAAAACCCACAGGUAUGGAGAUACAGCAGUGAAUGACUCAGAUGGAAAGC